GCUAACUCCGUGCCAGCAGCCGCGGUAAUACGGAGGAUCCAAGCGUUAUCCGGAAUUAUUGGGUUUAAAGGGCCUGUAGGCGGGUAGAUAAGUCAGCGGUGAAAACCUGCAGCUCAACUGUGGGACUGCCGUUGAAACUGUUUAUCUUGAGUUGCGGUGAAGUGGUUGGAACGUGCAGUGUAGCGGUGAAAUGCAUAGAUAUUGCACAGAACACCUAUUGCGAAGGCAGGCCACUAACCGCAUACUGACGCUCAGGGGCGAAAGCGUGGGGAGCGAACAGGAUUAGAUACCCUGGUAGUC
rnacentral:rRNA from 1 species